ensembl:lncRNA LINC02869 long intergenic non-protein coding RNA 2869
GAGGAUGGCUGUUGCUAAGGGCCAAAAUAACAAGACCUGCGUGCUUUUAACCGUUAUUUUAACAAUUAAAUUAACGGCUUUUUAAUUGUUAUUUGGAAGUCCAUGAACCGUCAUCCACGGGAAGGAAAAUUCAAGAUACUGGAAAAGUUAAGGGGUCAUAUCAGAAAGAUAUGUUUGAUGAAAUUAACUACAGAAUCAAGAAGUAUAUACUCAAAAAUGCAAAUACUACAAUAUAUAAGACAAUACCGCAACCAAUUGCUCUUCCUUCCCAUUGAAAGAAACCCAGGCUGUACCUGCUCUUUCAUCUCCUGUGUGGAAAACAUCUAUCGGCUGGAAGCCCUGAGUCUUCAUUUUCAAGGAUUUUAGUUGUAAGCUGUUUAAGGCAUAAGCUAAAGUUUCAGGCAGAGGUAAUUUUAGUAGUUAAGCCUGAUUUUUACUUCCACCCUCUGUCCUCCAGGGCUAUAUGGGAAGCUUUCUGUGAGUGGAUAAGCUCUUUAGCUAAGAUGUAAACAUGUUCCCUGCUAUCUGAUAAAGGUUCCUGGAGACUGACACUUUAAAAAAAAAAAAAAAAAGAAAGUGAGGAAAAAAAGAAAAGGAGAAACUGAAUCCAAGGCUUACAAAGGGAUUAGAAAACUGUACCCCAGAUGGAAAAUUUUAUGGGCUCUGGAGAAAAUGUGUAAGUGAAAUAUCGGUAUCAUAAAAUAACAGGAAAUAGUGUAAUCUACCUGAUGGAGAAAAUUGUCACUUUAAAAAAACUAUCCUAAUUUCCUUCAAAAUUGUUCUUGUUUUUGAGCCAAUAAACUUCAGCUAAGCU